rnacentral:lncRNA from 1 species
CCCCUGUUACAAUUGCAAUAAUACAUUCUCAGUAAUCCUAAUUUCCGAAGUAUCUCGUUGCUGAAUAAAAUAAGUGCAGAACUUGUGUAAAACCAGCUUUAUGAUCAAAUUAUUAUAGAACAAGGAAAACAAGAAUCAAGAGAGAAAUUCUAACAAAAUACUUGGAAUAGGAAUUUAUUGUUUAUCAAGUAGUCUUAAUUGUAACUAAAUAAGAAUACCAGGUCAAAGCAAGCUAUGAAUAUAAAAAUAAUCCUAGGUAGAAAAUUUUUAAACACAAAAAUAUAACAUUUCUAACUUUUUUUUUUACAAUGAAUAGUUACAUUAAAAUGAUUCAUAAAUCUCAUCCUUCUAUACUGCACCACACAUACUUCCCCAAUGAAGAAACUGAUAUGCAUAGACAAUAAACAGCGAGAAUCACCAGUACUUCCUGAAAAAUUAGGAUACACAUAAAUGAAUGACAUCCGUCAUAAUCAACUCAUACACAUAAAUGAAUGACAUCCGUCAUAAUCAACUCACUGAUGUUGUCACAUUAUUUAUUGCUUUUACUGUAGAAUCGUGUAAAGUAUAUUUUAUGCCAAACAAAAAAUGUCAGUGAAACAUAAGACUACAUCACACAUCAAGCAUGAAACCAGUAGCUUUGCCCUUAUACAAAACCAAGAUAUUGCAUCUUAAAUAAUUUUUCACUUCUAGGUUUAAUAGUGUCAUCCAAAGCACUAGCUUUAUAAAGGAAAUUUG